ACGGCCAUAUCACGUUGAAACACCGGUUUCCGUACGAUCAUCGAAGUUAGGCAACAUCGAGCCUGGUUAAUAUCUAGAUGGGUGACCGCUUGGAAAUACCAGGUGCUGUAAG